UGAAAAUCCCGACUUCGGAAGGGAUGUAUUUAUUAGAUUAAAAACCAAUGCCCCUCGGGGCUCUCUGGUGAAUCAUGAUAACUAGUCGAAUCGACAGGCCUUGUGCCGGCGAUGGCUCAUUCAAAUUUCUUCCCUAUCAACUUUCGAUGUUUGGGUAUUGGCCAAACAUGGUGGCAACGGGUAACGGAGGGUUAGGGCUCGACCCCGGAGAAGGAGCCUGAGAAACGGCUACUACAUCCAAGGAAGGCAGCAGGCGCGCAAAUUACCCAAUCCCGACACGGGGAGGUAGUGACAAUAAAUACUGAUACAGGGCUCUUUUGGGUCUUGUAAUCGGAAUGAGUACAGUUUAAAUCCCUUAACGAGGAACAAUUGGAGGGCAAGUCUGGUGCCAGCAGCCGCGGUAAUUCCAGCUCCAAUAGCGUAUAUUAAAGUUGUUGUGGUUAAAAAGCUCGUAGUUGAACCUUGGGCCUGGCUGGCCGGUCCGCCUCACCGCGUGCACUGGUCCGGCCGGGCCUUUCCCUCUGCGGAACCCCAUGCCCUUCACUGGGUGUGGCGGGGAAACAGGACUUUUACUUU
rnacentral:rRNA from 1 species